AACGAACGCGGGCGGCAUGCCUAACACAUGCAAGUCGAACGAGACCUUCGGGUCUAGUGGCGCACGGGUGCGUAACGCGUGGGAACCUGCCCUUAGGUUCGGAAUAACUCCCCGAAAGGGGUGCUAAUACCGGAUAAUGUCUUCGGACCAAAGAUUUAUCGCCUUUGGAUGGGCCCGCGUUGGAUUAGCUAGUUGGUAGGGUAAAAGCCUACCAAGGCGACGAUCCAUAGCUGGUCUGAGAGGAUGAUCAGCCACACUGGGACUGAGACACGGCCCAGACUCCUACGGGAGGCAGCAGUGGGGAAUAUUGGACAAUGGGCGAAAGCCUGAUCCAGCAAUGCCGCGUGAGUGAUGAAGGCCUUAGGGUUGUAAAGCUCUUUUACCCGGGAUGAUAAUGACAGUACCGGGAGAAUAAGCUCCGGCUAACUCCGUG
rnacentral:rRNA from 1 species